GUGACCCCAGGACUGGCGGGAU
rnacentral:rRNA from 1 species